GCUUUCCUUGUCUUGGAGUGAGUGAGCUGCUCAAUGAAUGUCUAGUGAGAGUAGCCCUGCUGACACCGUAAUAACACAUAUGCAUCACCUGGGCUCCUGUCCAGAACAAGGUGCAAUUUUUGGAAAC